rnacentral:rRNA from 1 species
GACGAACGCUGGCGGCGUGCUUAACACAUGCAAGUCAAGGGGCCCAGCAAUGGGCAACCGGCGAACGGGUGCGUAACACGUGAGCAACCUGCCGAUCUGUGGGGGAUAGCCGGCCCAACGGCCGGGUAAUACCGCAUACGCUCUUCUCGGGACAUCCCGAGCUGAUGAAACCUUUUGGGCAGAUCGAGGGGCUCGCGGCCUAUCAGCUAGUUGGUGGGGUAACGGCUCACCAAGGCGACGACGGGUAGCUGGUCUGAGAGGAUGGCCAGCCACAUUGGGACUGAGAAACGGCCCAGACUCCUACGGGAGGCAGCAGUGGGGAAUAUUGCGCAAUGGCCUGACGGCUGACGCAGCGACGCCGCGUGUGGGAUGACGCCUUCGGGGUGUAAACCACUGUUGCUCGAGACGAACCACGGACAUUCGUCCGUCUGACGGUAUCGAGUGAGGAAGCACCGGCUAACUCCGUGCCAGCAGCCGCGGUAAUACGGAGGGUGCGAGCGUUGUCCGGAAUCACUGGGCGUAAAGGGCGCGUAGGUGGUUCG